GCAUACAACCAAAUCAGUCCUGAAUGUGCCUGAUCUCAUCAGAUCUUAUAACUCCUAUUAGAGGUGAGCCUAGGUAGUAAUUGGAUUGGAGACUGCCUGGGGAUACCGGGUUUGGUAGGCA
rnacentral:rRNA from 1 species